rnacentral:rRNA from 1 species
UAUCUCUGUAGAGUCUGCAUAUCAAUAAGCGGAGGAAAAGAAACUAACAAGGAUUCCCUUAGUAACGGCGAGUGAAGCGGGAAGAGCUCAAAUUUGAAAUCUUCAAGGUUCUACCUUGACGAAUUGUAGUUUAAAGAAGUGUUUUCUGUUAGAUGAGUAGCAAAAGUUCCUUGGAAUGGGACAUCAUAGAGGGUGAGAAUCCCGUAUUUGGUUAUUCAUUCUAGCUUUGUGAUACACUUUCAAAGAGUCGGAUUGUUUGGGAAUGCAGUCCAAAAUGGGUGGUAAAUUUCAUCUAAAGCUAAAUAUUGGCGAGAGACCGAUAGCGAACACGUACCGUGAGGGAAAGAUGAAAAGAACUUUGAAAAGAGAGUUAAACAGUACGUGAAAUUGUCAAAAGGGAAGCGUUUGACACCAGUGUUGUUUUUCCGAAAAUCAAUUACGAAUGGCUUGAUUUUGUGUUGUAUUGACCUUAUCAGCUUUCUUCACUUUUUUCGAGUCUUUCUUAAUGCACUUUUCGGUUAACAAGUCAACAUCAAUUUCUUUUGUUGUAAAAGAGUAUUCGGAAGGUGGCUUUCUUUUCGGAGAAAGUGUUUAUAGCCCUAUACUUCUACAAUCGGAGAGAUUGAGGUCUGCAGCGUAGAUCCUUCGGGGUUAGAUACACUUGUGCUAAGUUGUAGCUUUUCAUAGACAACUUGUUGACUAUGUUUAGUCAUGCGGCUUACUCGCUUGUGCUAUUUUACCUACGCUUAGGAUGUUGACUGAUAUGUAGUCGU